GGCGCUGUGGCACAGUGGGUUAAAGCCCUGGCCUGAAGUGCCAGCAUCCCAUAUGGGUUCUGGUUCUAGUCCUGGCUGCUCCU
rnacentral:tRNA from 1 species